GGUUAAGCGACUAAGCGUACACGGUGGAUGCCCUGGCAGUCAGAGGCGAUGAAGGACGUGCUAAUCUGCGAUAAGCGUCGGUAAGGUGAUAUGAACCGUUAUAACCGGCGAUUUCCGAAUGGGGAAACCCAGUGUGUUUCGACACACUAUCAUUAACUGAAUCCAUAGGUUAAUGAGGCGAACCGGGGGAACUGAAACAUCUAAGUACCCCGAGGAAAAGAAAUCAACCGAGAUUCCCCCAGUAGCGGCGAGCGAACGGGGAGCAGCCCAGAGCCUGAAUCAGUGUGUGUGUUAGUGGAAGCGUCUGGAAAGGCGCGCGAUACAGGGUGACAGCCCCGUACACAAAAAUGCACAUGCUGUGAGCUCGAUGAGUAGGGCGGGACACGUGGUAUCCUGUCUGAAUAUGGGGGGACCAUCCUCCAAGGCUAAAUACUCCUGACUGACCGAUAGUGAACCAGUACCGUGAGGGAAAGGCGAAAAGAACCCCGGCGAGGGGAGUGAAAAAGAACCUGAAACCGUGUACGUACAAGCAGUGGGAGCCUCUUUAUGGGGUGACUGCGUACCUUUUGUAUAAUGGGUCAGCGACUUAUAUUCUGUAGCAAGGUUAACCGAAUAGGGGAGCCGAAGGGAAACCGAGUCUUAACUGGGCGUUAAGUUGCAGGGUAUAGACCCGAAACCCGGUGAUCUAGCCAUGGGCAGGUUGAAGGUUGGGUAACACUAACUGGAGGACCGAACCGACUAAUGUUGAAAAAUUAGCGGAUGACUUGUGGCUGGGGGUGAAAGGCCAAUCAAACCGGGAGAUAGCUGGUUCUCCCCGAAAGCUAUUUAGGUAGCGCCUCGUGAAUUCAUCUCCGGGGGUAG
rnacentral:rRNA from 1 species